rnacentral:tRNA from 1 species
GGCCCGGGUGACCAGCGUGUACGCGGCCUGCGCCUCGGGCGCGCAGGCGAUCGGGGCGGCCCGGGCGCAGAUCCUGGCCGGGCUG